UAAAAUCUUUAAUUUUUGUGGUGAAUUUGGGAAUAGAGGGGCUUGGUUUCUACUGUGUUACCCCAAUGAGUCUAACUGAUCAUUAGGCCUAACACGCCCUCAUGUCUGUCAGGCAUGAAACCUCACCAAACCUAACCCUCACAGAUCCCUUUCAAAAUUUCCCACUAGUGCUUCCUGACCUGGCAAUCCCACCCUAAGCUGACCUACCUUCACAUCCUGAAACUGCCCUAAACACUCAUCUACUUACCUUCCAUCCUACCCUACAUCUGUAUUCAGUUGCAUAAGCAAAUAUUAUUCGGAACUGAAAAAGACUCGUUCGACUCUCUAGUGGUUAUGAGUUCCGCCCUUUCCCGGAGUUUGCUUCCCUUGUGACCAGUCACAUGUCGUUGAUGCUGCAUUCUACCUCAGAGAAACCAGAAACAGCUUGUGAAUGAAGAUAGACUUUCUGGCUUGCAGCAAGUAAAAGGCUGCAUAGAAAUUGAUCUUAGUCACAGCUCUACAGUUGGAAGUGUAUGUAUUAAUCAGUGCUGGAGUCACACUAGGACCGGGCGGUGAAGCCAAUCCAGUGGGCCUGCUCCACACUCACCUGGCCUGACUCGAUCUCCAGUCCCAGGAACUUUGGGAGCCACUGUUCCAAGAAUCCAACCAGACUCUUGCCCUCCUCGCAUUCUGGAUGACCGAUGACCCAAUAAUGAAUUUGUUGAAUUGAAAACCUUGGAACCCCAGUUCUGUUCUUAUCAUGGCUUGGUAUCAGACGGAUUGUAUUGAAAAACCUCUUUGUAGAGCCUUCAGAAAACUGGGAACUUGUGUUGGUCAGAACCCUUGGCAGUUCUUGUUGAUUCCUCUGUUUGUUUCUGGAGGAUUCGGGGCAGGAUUUUGUUUCUUUGCUGAAAAUGAAAGCAAUAACAUAGAGGAUCAAUUCACACCCAUUAAUGGACCAGCAAAGUCAGUGAGAGAAUUUAUUAAAGAGCAUUUUCCAACCAAUGAUUCUCAAUUUUUCUCCAGACAGAGACUUUAUACAGAGGGGACAUUUGCUUCUUUGAUUGCUGUUUCAAAAGAUGGCAACGUUCUAACAAAAGUAGCAUUUGAAGAGAUUCUGUUUCUUGAUAAGAAAAUCAAAGACUUUCAAAUUAUUGACAAUGGCACAGCCUACAAUUAUUAUAAUCUUUGUGCAAAAACAGCAAACACUUGUUUCUCAAAUGCAGUCUUAGCUUUGCUACACUAUGAUCCUCACCUCGUUGAGAGUACCAAUAUUUCUUACCCAAUAGCAAAUCAUGCUUUUAUUGCUAGUACAGUGGGUGGUGUUGAAUUAGAUGAAAAUGGAACUAUUAUAAAAAUGGCAAAAGCUUUAAAGUUACAUUAUCCUUUAAGAGAAGAUGAUGAAGCAUAUAAGAGACUCAGUUUGCUGUGGAUUGAAAAGUUUCUUCGUGAAUUCCCAAUGGACCUUACAAAUUCAUCUCGUAUUGAGGUUUCACAUUUUACUUCCGUCUCAAGGCAAGAAGAAUUUGAGAAAACUUCCAAAAGAAUCAUUCCUCUUUUUUCUGUAACAUAUUUGCUAUCAAUAUCCUUUUCCAUCUUGUCUUGUAUGAGGCUUGACUGUGUGAAAAAUAAGAUCUGGGUUGCUGCUAUGGGAGUUAUAUCAGCUGGAUUAGCUGUGCUUACUGGCUUUGGAUUGCUACUCUUUUGUGGAAUGUCAUUUGCCAUCAAUACUGCAAAUGCACCCUUUCUGAUUCUAGGUAUUGGCGUGGAUGAUAUGUUUAUUAUGCUCGCCAGUUGGCAAAAGACACAAGUGCAUAGUAGAAUUGAAGAUCGUCUGGCAGAGACUUAUGCUGAAGCAGCUGUUUCUAUUACAAUCACCACUCUAACUGAUGUUUUGGCCUUUUAUAUUGGCAUUAUGACACCUUUUCGAUCUGUGCAGUCAUUCUGUGUUUACACAGGCACAACUGUUCUAUUGUGCUUCAUUUACAACGUUACAUUUUUUGGAGCUGUCCUUGCAUUGAACGGGAGAAGAGAAGCCAGUAAUAAGCAUUGGUUGACAUUCAGAAAGGUUGAAGAAGAUCAUAAACCAGGAGAAUCCAAAUUCCAUGGAUUAUGUUGUGUAGGUGGGACAUACGAUCAGGACUUGGGUACAGAAUCAGAACUCAAAGUUUAUUUUUUCUUUAAGAAAUACUAUGGACCAUUCCUUACAAAUCAAUGGACCAAGGCAAUUGUGGUGCUCCUGUAUGUUGGAUAUUUAACUGGCAGUAUUUAUGGCUGUUUACACAUCAAAGAAGGAAUUGAUCUCAGAAAUCUGGCUUUUGAUGAUUCAUAUUUGAUUAAGUUCUAUGAUGACGAAAGUAAUUUUUUCUCAAAAUAUGGACCACGAGUCAUGGUUACUGUUACUGACUCUGUGAAAUAUUGGGAUUCCAGUGUUCAAGAAGAAAUUGAAACCUGCAUGGACAGAUUGGAAAACAACUCGUAUGUAGAUCCUGAGCUGUCCGAGUCCUGGCUUCGUGUGUACAUUGACUAUUCUAAAAAGAUGUCAAUAGGUAUAAGGGAGAAGACUACAUUCAUUGGAAAUUUACCUAAAUUGUUUAAGUUUGUCUCUUCAUUUCAACAAGAUAUUGAGCUGUCAGAAGAUAAUAUGAGUAUUACAGCUUCACGAUUUUUCAUUCAAAUUGUGAAUGCCAGUGAUCCGUUUGAUCAAAAAAACAUGUUGAUUGAAUUAAGAAACUUGACAAAUGAGUGUAGAAUCCCUUUACUUGUGUAUCAUCCAGCAUUCAUCUAUUUUGAUCAAUUUCUUGUGAUAGUGACCAAUACAGUCCAGAAUGUAAUUAUAGCAGCUAUUGCUAUGUUGGUCAUUUCUUUACUAUUAGUACCUAAUCCAGUUUGUUCUUUAUGGGUAACAUUUGCUAUUGCAUCUGUUUUAGUGGGUGUGGCUGGCUUUAUGGCUUUCUGGGGUGUCAACUUGGAUUCCAUAUCUAUGAUUAAUCUGGUCGUUUGUAUUGGAUUUUCUGUGGAUUUUACAGCUCAUAUUACAUAUGCAUUUGUUUCAAAUGAUAAAACAAAUGCCAAUGAGCGAGCCAUUGAUGUGCUAUACACCCUUGGCUAUCCCAUUCUACAGGGGGCUCUUUCAACUAUUCUGGGUGUUGCAGUGUUGUCUAUUGCAGGUAGUUACAUAUUUAGAACAUUUUUUAAGAUCAUGUUUCUUGUUAUAUUUUUUGGUGCUGUUCAUGGUAUUGUAUUUAUGCCAGUGUUUUUGACAUUUUUACAAGCUUGUGGCAAACAGCAUAAUGGUGCCUCAAAUGGACAAAGUAGUAAUGCCCACAGCUACCGGCAUGUUCAUCAUAGCAAAGUAAAUGGAGAUGCUUCCUGUGAACUGACGGAAAAAUAAUAACAGUUGCUGUUAUAUGAGACCAAAGAGAUCUGUAGCAACUUUAUUAACUUGCCAUGCACCAUCCAACAUAAGCAUUUUUCUUCCAUUCCCAUCAAUUUGAAAUCAAGAGCAAUAACAUCCCCUAUUACACUUUGGUGUUUCCUAAGGACAAUGGAGCUCUUCAAUUUCCACAGGAUUAGUUUCCUCUUACAGACCUGAAAAGCAAUAAUUCGUUAAUACUUAAAAGAAUAUUUCUUGAUUGAUAAUAUUUUCAAUGCUUUCAUCUCAACAUUUCCUCUAUGUCAAUUCUUUCAAUUAGCCGUUCACCUUGGUUCCUUAGUCAAAUGUUUCUCUUCCAGGACUUAGAAAUAAAUAUAAAUAUUGCUAUAGUGAACAUUAUAUAUAAUGCUCUCAAAUCAAAAGGUUGUUCAUAGUAAAGCAAGUAUGAAUUAUGACAAACUGAGUCUCCACCACUGUUGUUAUCAAGCUGGUUGUGACAUCCAGCACUGGAUGAGUAGAAAUUACCUGUAAUUGACUAUUUGGAAAAUUACAAUGAUUGUUUUCAGUUAUCCUUCCAACUCCGUUCUCUCAGAAUUGACUCUAUCUCUUAAUACCAGUCUUGACUCUAAACCAAUUUGUUUGCAAACUUGCCAUCACCUUCAAACCCGAAAAAGGAUUUGAGUCAUAUAUUCAAGCCCUCAACUAGACUGCCAUUUUCCAUGUCCAUAACAUUGUCCAACUUUGCAUCUACCACUGAAACCCACAUUUUAUCAUAGAGUCGCCACAGUGUGGAAAAUUGGUCUAACAAGUCCACACCGACCCUCUGAACAGUAUCCCACUGUCCCUAUUCUACUACCCU